rnacentral:tRNA from 1 species
UGCAGCUCAGUAGUAGAGCACUUGCUUAGCAUGUAUGAAGACCUGGGUUCAAUCCCCAGUUCUGCAA